rnacentral:lncRNA from 1 species
ACUUGUAUUCUCAGGAUUCAGGAUCUACCCAGCACCAAAGAUGUAUUUUCAGGAGAACAGACCUAGAAAUGGGCCUGUCUGGCAUUUCAGAGUCAGGCAAAGCAGGCAGGGCCAGGGAGCUUCUGUGGGUCUACACAAGAAGGUUCCUGUGAGGGCUAUCAGUUGUUGCCUUCUAGCUUGCUGGUAACUUUGGCGCCUCUGCCAAGCCCUGCCAGACUCCCCUGGCUGUGAUGGCGUUCUGUGCCAUCCUCCUUGUCCCCAGCCUCUGCAGGAUGCCCUCCCUACCCACCUCUCCCUGGGCCUUCCCUGUCCACUGGGCUGGGUUCAUGUUCAAACCACUGGACUGGCAGGGCAACGACUUCUUCCCACCUCAAGAUGAGGUCCUCGCCCCCUUGUCUUGGCAUAAAAACACCUUUAAAGCAUGAGCCAUGUGCUUCUUUUGAGACUGUCAGCCUCCUGGAGGAGUGGGGUCCACCUUCUUGCCUUAUGCAGUGCAACCUCCGGCACCAGUGUCCUUGGCUGCCAUGGCAAGCUCAUCAGGGGCUUGUACCCUGCUCACCAAGCAUGGUAGCAGCUGCCUGCAUUGUAUCUCCAUCUGGUCACUGCAGGUGCCAACCCUUCAUCCCCCAUGUUUUCCUGGGCCGUGGAGGGCUGACCUCCAUUUCUGGGGAAUGUGGCUGAGCUGUGGUAACCAGCUACACCCCAGGUGCUCUUUCCAUGGUGGUGCCUGCUCAUCUUGCUGAUGCAAACUAGGAAGUUAGGCUGCAUCUCGGAGUGGCUUUCGCUGGAGAGGUGCUUUGCUGUCUCUGAGACUCAGUCACUGUGUUCCCUCCCCGCCUCUCUUAUCUCCAUGGCUGUUUGCAGCUCUCCCAGGUACUUUGGGGUCUGAGCUGGAAUUCCUUUGUGGUUUGCUCUUCUGCUUCUCACUCUUGUAUUAAGAAGGAUUCCACAAAGGGAGCGUGGCAUCCCUGCUGCUGCUGUGUCAGACCAGAGUUUCCUGAGGGGCCCUGACCCUAACCCUCCAGCUCAGCCCUGUACACCUGACCCUGUAAAUGAGUGGGGUUUGCUGACUGUAAUCCCUGACACCAGUAAAACCAAAAGGACUCUUGGGGGCUCAGUGUGAGAGCCAGGGUUACCUACUCUGCCAAGUGAGGACAAACUGCUAGGCUGUAUCCCAUAAUUUCAGGAUGAGAAACGUUAACAAUAAAAAUUUGUAGUAAACAUAACCUCAUGAAGAACUAAUCAUAUGGUCUCUGUCGUCCUCAUUUCCUUGGGAUUUGAGGGAAUUUUGUCUGGAGCUCACCCUGGUCCACAGGCUGGCCAUGAGCACUGGUGCUGUAAACCCUGCCCCUUCCCUCAUUCACCCCGUGGCUGGCCAUGGGCACCGGUGCUGUAAACCCUGCCCCUUCCCUCAUUCACCCCGUGGCUGGCCAUGGGCACCGGUGCUGUAAACCCUGCCCCUUCCCUCAUUCACCCCGUGGCUGGCCAUGGGCACUGGUGCUGUAAACCCUGCCCCUUCCUUCAUUCACCCCAUCAGGGUUGACUUUGGGCAGAGCAGCCACAGACUCACCUGAAAGGGGCCUGCCUCUUCACACCUGUGGCUAUUUCUCGUCAGGUGGGACGAGAGACUGAGGAAAGAAAGAAGGCACAGAGACAAAGUAUAGAGAAAGAACAGUGGGCCCAGGGGACCGGCACACUAAGCGUGCGAGGACCCGCACUGGUGCCGGUCUCCGGGUUCCCUCAGUAUUUAUUGAUGAUUAUUUUCACUGUCUUGGCAAGGAGAGUGCGGCAGGAGAACAGGGAGAACGGUGAUGGUGGGGAGAAGGUCAGAAGGAAAACGUGAGUAAAGGAAUCUGCGUCAUAAAUAAGUUCAAGGGAAGGUACUGUGCCCGGAUGUGCACGUAGGCUAGAUUUAGGUUUCUCUUUACCCAAACAUUUUAGUAUAGCAAAGAGUAACAGAGCAGUAUCACCGCUAGCAUAUUUCGCCUCUAGCCACAGGGUGGUUUUCUCCUAUCUUAGAAUAGAACGAAUAAUCGAAUAAUCGGCUUUACACCAAGACAUUCCGUUCCCAGGGACAUGCGGGAAACAGAGGGCUUCCUCUUAUCUCAGCUGCAAAGAGGCCUUCCUCUUUUACGAAUCCUCCUCAGCACAGACCCUUUACGGUUGUCGGGCUGGGGGACGGUCAGGUCUUUCCCUUCCCACGAGGCCGUAUCUCAGGCUGUCUCAGUUGGGGGAAACCUUGGACAAUACCCAGGCUUCCUCGGACAGAGGUCCCUGCAGCUUUCCGCAGUGCAUUGUGUCCCUGGUUAAUAGAGAAUGGAGAAUGGUGAUGACUUUUACCAAGCACACUGUCUGCAAACAUACUGUUAACAAGGCACACCCUGCAUAGCCCUAAAUCCCUUAAACCUUGAUUUAAUACAGCACAUGUUUCUGUGAGCACAGGAUUAGGGCUAACGUUACAGAUUAACGGCAUCUCAAAGCAGAACAAUUUUUCUUUGUACAGAUCAAGAUGGGGUUUCUUUUGUCUUCCUUUUCUAGGUAGGUACAGUAACAGUCUGACCUCUCUUCCUUUGCCCCACACUCACCCACUUCCUGCUGUGUUACCCUUCCCUGCCCAAGUUCCUGAAACGCAGAUGGGGAUCCUGAUAGCAUCACCACUUAGGGAAUAAGUGAGUUGGCCGGGCGCGGUGGCUCAUGCCUGUAAUCUCAACACUUUGGGAAGUCAAGGUGAGUGAAUCACGAGGUCAGGAGUUCGAGACCAUCCUGACCAACAUGGUGAAACCCCGUCUCUACUAAAAAUACAAAAAUUAGCCGGGUAUGGUGGCAAGUGCCUAUAAUCCCAGCUACUCAGGAGGCUGAGGCAGGAGAAUUGCUUGAACCUGGCAGACAGAGGUUGCAGUGAGCUGAGAUUGUGCCAUUGCACUCCAGCCUGGGCGACAGAGCGUGCACUCCAGCCUGGGCGACAGAGCGAGACUCCGUCUCAGAAAAAAAAAGAAAAAGAGAGUAAACAUGAAGUGCUUCGAAUACACAGC